rnacentral:lncRNA from 1 species
AGGGGGAGGCAGCCACAGGUGGGGGCGCUCACCUGCUCAAGAUCGGGGCUCCCCGCGCCCACUGGGGACGAAGUGCCGGAGCUGGCCAUACGAACGUAAAAUCCACGGGGCAGUGGUAACUCCAGGCGCACUCCUCGGAAACAGAGUUGCAGUCUCAGGUCCACGCCGUCUGGGGACCGCUCGGCGCUCGGAUACUCCAACUAGAUGCUCAGGGGAGCCCCCGCCCGCGCGCCCCACGGAGCCAGAGGCUGAGACCGGGGCAGAGUCCUAGUUGGCUAGGAAGCUGAGACCCGGAUCUCGGAGUGUCCUCGUUUCUAGGAGGUCAGAUGACAGGACAACUUAUCCUGACCGGUGGGAAUCGGAGCAGGAAAGCAUCUAUAGGAGCCAAGGGUCUCUCAAAGAGAGCACCUUUCCCAGCAUUCCCACCGAUCAGCACGAGGGACUCGGCCAGAAAUGUGUCCCUCCACAUCCUGAUUCCGUUCUGGCUGUAAAGAUAAAAGUUUUCUCUCAGCCAGU